rnacentral:rRNA from 1 species
CAGUAGCCACGGUAAUACGGAGGGUUCAAGCGUUAAUCGGAAUUACUGGGCGUAAAGCGCACGCAGGCGGUCUGUCAAGUCAGAUGUGAAAUCCCCGGGCUUAACCUGGGAACUGCAUUUGAAACUGGCAGGCUAGAGUCUUGUAGAGGGGGGUAGAAUUCCAGGUGUAGCGGUGAAAUGCGUAGAGAUCUGGAGGAAUACCGGUGGCGAAGGCGGCCCCCUGGACAAAGACUGACGCUCAGGUGCGAAAGCGUGGGGAGCAAACAGGAUUAGAUACCCCAGUAGUCCCUGUCUCUUAUAC